GUAUACGAAUCAUAGAUGGCAUUUCUUCAAAUAUAAAUUGUGCGGACUAACAGACGACAUGUUUGUACACAAGAAAUAAGAUGUAUUAUAAACUUCAAAACAGUUUUGGAAAUUUUUAAUAAUAUCGAAAAUAAGACUUGAUUAUGAUCUUGACAUAGCCAGAAUCCUUGAGCUUUCUUCUUAUUUUGUGUACAAUCAUGGAGUUGAACAAUGUGGGAAGCAACAAAAAUUCAAUAUAUAUAGCAAUAUCACUUAGGAAAUUAUGUUUAGUAACAGUGUCUUUACCACUUGUUACUUUGUUAGUCUGUUUUAUUACAGGAUAUAUCUUUCAACAAGAUGACAUUCAUGAAACACACUGUAGGGUCUAUAAUGUACUUCCAUCGAUAUCAGCCAUUACUGGCAUUUCUCCGCAAAGGUAUUUGUGGCGUGUAACCAUAGCAUUACACAUUGGUCCUCGCCUACUUAUCGCUAGUGUUUAUUACUCAUAUUAUUAUAAUAUACUCAAAGCAAUUGAAGAUGUAACUUUGAAGAUUAAGGGAAGUCGACUUUUGAAUUUAUGUUAUUGGUUGAACAUAGCAGAAGUGGCAACCUUGUGUGGUGUUACAUACAUUUCCAAUAGAGAAAAUUAUUCGGUACAUGAAAAAAUCUUCAUUGGCUUUAUGAUUAGUUCCUUAACAUAUAUGUUAACAGCAGUAAGGCUAGGUCGCCUUGUAACACCAGAUGCGCCAAGUCUUCAGUACAAACAAGCACUUUUUGUAACAAGUCUUAUUAGUACUAUUGGACUCAUUGUGUUUUUCUUAAAACACAGAUUGCUCUGCCAUGACCUGGCAUUUAGUUGGUUUUCCUUAUGUGAAUAUGUGAUUGCCUCUGCGAACAUGGGUUUUCAUGUUACCGUAGUUCUAGAUUUUCCCAAGGAACAGCUGGUUGUUGGGAACGGUUUACCAACCAUAAAGGUGGAUUAACUCCUUAUAAUAUUUUAUAUUUAUCAUUAUCCUAUUAUUGUCAUCAAAGUGCCUACUGCCACUGUCUGGAAGUGCUAUUGCCAAGAAUUUAAAGUACAUAUGUUAUAUUAUAUGAAGCUGAGUAUCCACUGGUAAAUACUGGUGAACAUUUUUUAACGAAACAUCUUUAUAAUACAACAAAGAGUUUAAAAUAGUUCUUACCAAACAUUUUAUACAUACAGUGAUUUUGAUGAUAUUAUUGACAGUAAAACAUAAACUAAAUUAUAAAUGUUAUGCUUAUCUUCGAGAUAAGCAGAAAGUAAAAUUAUACUUAAAUGUCACAUCUGAACACUUUUAUUUUUCAAAAGAAAUAUAUAUUACAAAGUAUUUAGUCCUUUUGUAUUAAAAAGAAUAGGUUACAAAGAUUUCAAAAUUUUCUUUGAAUAUCCGUAAUUUAUUUUUAUAAUUUUUAAUUAUUGAUUUCAAAAAUUUUUAAUUUAUGUGAACAUUUUUUUAACGCUUAUCCGUCCCUUGUGUCAGUUUAAUAUGUUACGGUAAAUAUAAAAAAAGUAGGACGUCCUCGGCAUCGUUUUAUUAUUUGUUAAUGAUGUAACAACGCAGACAAUGCAAAUUUUAUGGCUGAAUGCAUAAAAAUGAAAUCUUUUUUAUUUUCGAUAAAUAAAUUUGCGAACUAUUUUCUUUUAGUUAGAUUAAUUUUUUACUAUUGUGUUAAUUUUGAUACCAAAGGACAAAUUAAGUUGGGAAAGUGAGGGACGGAUGAGGAAGCAUGUUUCAGUAAACCGAGAUAUUAGAGUUUGACAUACAUUAUCUAUGCUUCCUAACUUUCAUAACAUAUGCUACAGUAGUAUCAGAUUACAAUCGUCUUUCGAUAUUACAGUUCACAUAUCUGAGAAUCAAAACAUCUGGUUAUAUUAUUUCGAUUUUUAAUAUUACUGGUAUUACAAUAUUAAUUCGAAAUUCUAAGAAAAAAUUAACACUCUUCCAAUUUGUUUAAUAUGAAUAUAUCUAUAAUUUCUGAUGUCUCAUUAAUGAUUAUAUAAUGGUAGUCUUUACCUGUUGUAUACUAAAUUUCUGGGGUUUUAGUUAAUAUGAAAGCUUCAUUAAAUAUAUUUACUUCAUUUUUAUACAAUAAUAUAUUUUAUAGCUUAUGUUGAGUUUGUAAUAAUAUAUUUUCUAUGGAGGAACUUCAUCUUCCUCUUAUCUACUAUCGUUUUCUUUUUGUUUUUCACUAAGUUUGAAUAUUUUUUCUCGAACUAUUAAUAAUGCAUAACAAAAUUUUAUUGAAUCUAAUCUUAAAUCUCGCUCAUAUUUGCUACAAUUAUUGUAAUCCAAAGAUAUUGAAACUUGGAUAAUACAUUUAUAUACAUGUACACGCCACAAAUAUUUAUUAUAUUUAACAAUUUUACUGAAAUCAUAAAAUAUUGACAAGUGUUCAAAAAUAUUUUAUAUAUUGAGUGGAUACACAGGACAAUGCACAAAAUUUCUCCAAUUAACUUAUAUUUAUUUUAAUGAAGGAAAUAUCAGCUUGAAUAUAUUUUACAGUAUUAUAUAAACAGUUUUUAUUUUAUUUAAAAAGUUUUGUUAUUCUUAAUUUGCAAUUGAAACACAACACAAGUAUCUUCCAAUUAUUUUCAAUAUACAAAGGCACAAUUAAAAUGAUAAAGCAAAGAAUCUAGCGCUUCCAAAGUAUGGCAUUGGUAUCUUCCCAGGCAAUGAAAUCUUUAAUGGCCUUUUAGGUAGUGGAAACUUGUAGUGAUACUAGACAAGUAUGUAUCCUACAUUCAAACAAUAUAAAAUAUUAUAAAACCCCAAGAAGUGGGAUUCUGUAUUUAGUUUCUGCAUAUAGUUUAUUUGAAAAAGUGAGAAUGAAUAAUAAUAUAGAAAAAGAGAUUACAGCAUUAGCUGAUUUAUUACUAAUUUUAAACUUACUUUUGUAGAGACUUUUUUGCAAAAUGAGAAUUCUAGUCAAUAAUUAAUUCUAGUCAUUGUUUUCUGAUCUGUUUAAAAACAUUGUUGUGAAACAUCAUGAAUUCUGAUGCAUUGUUAGCAUGUAGGAUGCAUUUACAGUAGCACGACUUUCAUGUUUAAUGAAGGUACGUGCGUAAAAUAAGUGUAUGCAAUCUUAAUUUAAGGCACCGUAGAAAUAUUGUCCAACACUGUACAGCUGUAUAUCAUCAGUAUAUUUUAUCGUGUAUAAGUAUAUAUGACCCAUAUGUUAUGUAAAACAUAAUGCAACAGAAACAAAUUAUUUGAUGAUACUUAUAAAAUUAAUCAUUACAGUAUUAUGUUACAGAUGUAAGAAUUAAUGCUUAUGUUUGUAUUUAAUGUACAACCUUUAAGUGCAGUGUGAUAAUGGUCAAACAAUUGGCGUUUAUACAAUGAUGACGUUAAUAGAGGGAAAACAUAAAUGGAAAGUAAAAUCAAUAUUUAUCUUGUACAAUAUAUUCCUGACCAAAACUUGAAUUACGUCCAAAAUUACGGAACAACUUUCUGAAAUUCGAAUAAUUGUUUAUACUAAAUUUUAUAUCUAAAAGCCAUAAUUCUCUUUCAAAGUAUUUAUGGUAAUGUUUCAUUUGGAGCAUUAAAUGAAACAACAUUGUAGUAAAGCACAUUGCUGUAGAUGACUAAAUCUGUUUUGUAAAUUCAUAUAAUUAGCAUUCAGAAACACUAGAUGAAUGUCUCACACAGUGUUAUAGCAGAUAUAUUACUGAGUCGAUACAUUGUUUUCAGUGCAAAUGCUGACAAAUAGAACCUUAAUAACGUUUACUUAAGGGUGUCAUUAUUGCACAUUUUUACAUGCAAAUGUUAUUUUUAUGUUGUAUUGAGAUUUUUUUCAUUUCAUUUUCAAGUUUUAAUAUAAAACUAUUUCAAUAAUAGUUAAUGUGUUUAUGAAUAAAUUUAUAAUAAAACAUUGUAUAAACACAUUUCCUUGAAGUAUAUAUUCUUUAAUUAUGAACAGUUAAAUUUUUUAAAUAAUGAGACUACUUUCAAAUAUGAAGUUAUUUAAGUUGCAUCUUUUAAUUUACAUUAUGAUAUUAUUUUGAAGUUUCUUAAUGAGUUCACAUUUAUUACUAAUCGUAAUGAAAAAACAAUAUUUUUCGAUGUAAUUAUCAAACAUUAAACCCGUGCCAAGUGAUGUAUUAAUGAUACAUUCUAUGCAUCUGUUGUAUUGGCAACUAAGUCCAUGGUACUAUAUUGACUUCAGUCAAUUUACGACCUUUAUUAAUUUUUUAAUUUUUAUCGUGCAAUCAUUGUUUGAAUUUAUUUAUGACAAAUAAUUCAUAGGCUGUUUUAGUUUUAAGUACCCCUUGAAAAUCAAAUGAAUUUAUACGUGUAAUUUGCUUAUGAGUAGGUGUAGAUAAGACAUUUACUACUAAUUCUAAAAAUAUCCUAAAAAUAGUUGUAAAAUCUUUAAAGGAGUUUACAAAAACAAGUUGUUAUAUACAAAAUACCAGUAUAACAGUAAUUUGGAAAGUCAAAGGUCAACAUACUCUGUUUUCCUUUUCUCAAUUUUAGAAUUCUUCAGCUGGUUAAUGAUAGAUUGAUAUUUCAGGAAGGCCCUUGCCCCUUAUGUUAAUUGUAUAAAUUGUCAGGUAGCAAUAGAUGUUUCAAGUGAAGAGUUCACAUUUUAAGCACUUUAUCAAUUGGAGGACUUCUAUUUCAAGGAUAAAUAUCCCAGACAUCAGGAAUGUUACGUAUUUUUACAAUGACUGUUAACCAUAGAUCUAAUAAGGAUUUAUUUGGUUCAAUUGGAAGAUUUUUCAUAUAUUUGUCAUCAAUGGUGUAACACCAAGGGAAGAUAAUUUGAGUGAGGGAUGAUUGGUUUUUAUAAAUUUAUUAGAAACAUCGAUUAAUUGUACCAAAGAAGUGAGAAGAAACAAAUAAGCGAGUAGAUAUAUUAAUUCAGUUCAUAUUCUGUAGCAAAUUUAUAUAAUUUUUACUCAAUUAUCAUAAAUUAAACUUUGACUUCUUUGAGAUGUUGUUGUAAUUUGUUAGUAUGACGGCAGUGUCAGCCGGUGGCGACUGUUGUGUUGUGUAUUGUAGGAAAGUCCGAUGUAUAUAGGAUGUACAAUAAUGAUACCAGGAUGCUACGAGUUCUUGAAGAAUCUUACCUCUGUUCGAGCUGAGGACAGGUGAUUUUUUUGGAUUUUAUUGUAUAUUUAAUUUGAUUUUAUAGCGUGGUGAAGUUUCUUUGUUUUUAUGUUGCAUUUUAUUCCAGUGAAGUUCAUAGUUGUUUGUGGCUUCUGUUGUUUCUAAUGGUUUUUGCCUGAUAAUAUCUAUGUAAGACAGUUCUUCUGGUCUAUAUUAAGUUAAUAUGGAUAUGUUAGUUAGGUUUGAAUAAUAUUUGAUUUGUAUUUUUCUUUCCAGGCUGUGUCAUAUGUUAUGCAGCCCUUGUAGUUUGCUGAGUUGCUUCCACCAUGGUUAGUGCAUUUUACAUGCUCAUCUUUGACAUUCCAUUCUCAUUGUGGAGUGGUUCUAGAGCGAUAUUUCUGUGCGUAGCUAUAUCCAUGGCCUUUUUCACACUGGGAUAUUAUUUUUCAUGCGUGAAGGCUCAUUUGAAAUUUUUGUGUUUCAUAGUUUUAUAAUGAAAUAAAUAUUCUUGUUACUCGAGUUUGGUAAUAAUUUCAUAAAGGAAAACAAUAAUGGCGCUUUUGACAUUCUGUCCAAUGUUAUAGGAUACCAUUGAAGUUGGAUGACCUAACUCUUUUAAAUCAUCUGCUAUUGCCUUGGGGUCAGUGGAUAGGAGAGUUUGUAACCUGCAGUUCUUCAACAUUUUGGACAUCUUUUGGAUAUUAUGUACAUUAGGUACUAUCAAUAUCAGUUGGUGUUUUCUUGGCUUUGGCUGGUUGGACUUUACUUCUGUGCUCGCGUAUAUCACGACGCACUUCAAAUUUGUUUCACGCGAGAUUGUUGGAUCUUUAAUUACCUAUCGAAGGUAAGGUUUCAAUAGGAAUUGUGUUUCUACACAAAGUCAUUUUCAAAGAAGUCGUUUUAUUCCGAUGGUUAGGCAGUUUCUUUCUUCUUUUGUUUUGAGCUACUUUUCAACUCUGUUGGGAAUUUCUCCUAGUGAUUUUUCCUUGUAUGUGUGAUGAAAAGUUGGAUAUAGUUCUGUCUUAGAGAUUUUUUGCUUGGUUUAUUGUGGUUUUAUUUGGAUGGAAACUAUCAUUGUCUCUAGUCGUUGUGAACUGACUAAAUUUUUCUAAAAUCCGGUUCUAUGUGCCAUUGCUAAGAUCUUGCAUCAAGUGAUUUAUAAUGUUGUCGCCAUUAUCAAUUCUUUAUUAGCGGUUUGAAAUGUUUUAUACCUGUGUAGCUGACGCACAUACAAGCAUUACUAGUGUUAUUAUUUAUUUUGUUGUUAUUUGUGAGCCUACCUGGUAUGCUGUAUAGUCAUAUGGGUGAAUAAAUGUGAAUUUGUAACUGUAUAUGUCCAACAUAAACUGAAAUCACAUGAUGGUUCAUUUUUACCAAUGUGGUUCUAAUUUGUUUUGUUCAAAGGGUGUAUCAAGGGCUUUCCAACAUUUCACAUAGAAUAAUCUAGCAGCUUCAUUGAUCAGAGUAUCCAUGGCCUGAUUUGAUUGACUUGGUGUUGCUGUUCCUGGGAAUACAUUUUUGUUUUUCGCUCCUGUUAUAGUACUUUCUCAAAUUUACAUUUUUUCAAGUAUCAAUUUUUCUGGUUUUUCCUGCAAACUUACAUGUUAAUUCUUGCUUAUUAUCUGGACUUCAUAAUCUGAGCUGGGUAAAAUGGAUAAAUUAAUAACUGGUCAUGGAGAAAUGCAAAAGUUUUUGUGAUUAAUAAUAAUGAAAUUGAUAUUUCAGCAUGCUUUUUUAAAGUGGCAGAUUAAUAGGCACUGUGAACUCGAGUAUACAACUCUCACGUUUUAAGAAGACCCAGUCUCUCAUAUUAAUGAUUCUAAAAAUAUCCUAAAAAUUAAGUAGUUGCAAACUAUUUAAAGAAGUUUCCAAAAACAGUUUAUUAUAUACUAUAUACAUAAAUAGUGUGUUUAGAGAGCAUUGUGAUUUAUUAUUGUUUUUUUUUCAAUAUUAAAAUUAAUAAUGAGCUGGUACUUAUCGCAUAAUAUGAACUCGAUACUUUGAUAGGAUUAUAGCUAUUUUAAUGAAUGAAGAAGCCUGAUAGAGUUUGUGUAAAAUGUCAUAUACCUUAAGCACUAGCAUGCAAGUAAGGUCUCUUCUUGAGCUCAGCCACCUAAAGCUAUUUUCUUAAAUAUGAAAUAUACAUAAAUAUACCAUAGCAGAUUUUGCUUGUUUACACGUCUCCAGUUCUCACGUGGUUUAAAUAGAAAAAAUCAUUAAAACAAAAUAUAUGAGCAAAUAUUUCAUCAUUUUAAAGUAAAGUAAUUAAAUCUAUUACAGGGCGCAUAAGAAUAUACUUGUUAAAAUUGAUCAAGUUCUAAAGCGCAUUAGAUCUUUUAUCCGUUUUUCGAUUACAUUAUGGUCCAAUUUUUUCAGUGAAAGCUAUUUUGUCUUUUGUUUAAUGCUUUAUUUUCUUCAUUCCAUCUAGUAAUUUUAGUAUAUAAUUUUACCGAAGUAAUAACUAUAAUUUAGGAGAAAUUUUUUCUCUGUCUAUAGUAUAAACUUUAUACUAUAACGUCCUUUAAAAAACAACGCGCGAUUUAAGUGAAGACGUAGCUUUAGACGGCCACCUCAAACAGAGGCCGACUAUUGGAUUGAUGAAGUGCAACUUGAAGUAACCUUGACAUGUGUCAGAAUCUUUAUUUAAUUGAUGUCAGCCACUUGGCACGACAACUCUGUCGUGAAUUAGGCUGAAUGUCUUCUGUGGUUUAAACAGAGAUUUAUUAUGUAAAGUAGUUCAAAGAGUUAUGGAGCAGAGUGAUUACACAACUAUAAUUAUAAACUAUUUAUAUAUUAAGAACAUUGAUAAUCACGUACUUCGCACUUCGUUCGAAACAACAACACACGUAGAACAAUGCACCUAUGAUUAAAAAAAAAAGAAAAAGCUAUAGGCGAAAACUUUCUAUCGCGACUAACCGAAUCGCUGGAAACCACGAGAUAUUAGUGAUUCAUGAGCGGCUCAAAUUUAAAAGAGAUAAGUUUUUGCAGUGACAGUUAUACGUCAAUUUUUCUCGUUACAUACAUGCAUGCAUUUUAGCGCUUUUAAGAAGAGUUUUUACCACUUGAAUAUAUUAGCUACUGAAAGCAAAAAGAAAAUCAAAUUUCGAAUGGUUACGCAAGAUUAUACCAGAAGGACGCGCUAACAUAUUAUGAAGACGCGUUCACACCCUCAGAGUGACUAACGGAGAAUUAGUGAGAGAAAAGUUGAGGAAAAUAUUGCAAAAAAAGAAAGGUAACGCAGACGCUAGAAAAUCUGACUUCUUUAUGACUACUACUAUUCUAGUAUAGUAAUGUUUGGUUGUGAGUUGAUAUUUUAUGUAAUGUUGUCUACGUACAAAGUAUAUUUGUUUUCUUUCGUAAACUGUUUAGGAAGUUUGUGUGCAAGAAUGAGCCUCAUAGUAUUGUAGACUUUUCGUAUAGUUCGAAUUUCAUUGAACUUAAUCCAACAGCAAUAAUGACACUAAUGGAAAACAUAUCGAAACGAUAGUUUCUCGAUGAAUAAGAAACACAAAAAAUAAUAAUUUUUAGAAAAAAAGAAACAAAUAUUCGCGUUAACGAUGAUACAUGCUGCUGUACGACGAAAAAUUAGAAAAAUGCUUCGGUCCGCUACUUGUCCAGUCGAAAAAUCUAAAAAAACAGAAAUUUUUACGCGGAUAUUCUUGCUAUUAGCUCACGAAUAUUAAGCCUCCGGAACGUGUAUUUUUUAACAUAAUUUUGCUACCGAAACAGUUUUUCUGAUUUCACAUGUUAAACGGAAGAACGAACUGCUAUAUUGUUACAGUGGGUUUACUUCGACACGCGAUGAAUUCGAACGAUCGAUAAUUCUGUGAUAAUAAAUUUAAAUGAUUAUUUUUAUGUUUGCACGGUAGUUUGUGAAAUAUGUUCAUUGUCUCGUAUAGGCUAAGCCUAAUUAAAUUGACGUGAUGAAGAAGUCGCAUGAAUUUAUUAAUUUCUUUAGAGUGUAUGUUUAUUUCUAUUCGAAAAUCUUUAUAGACAUAUUAUCACAGAAUGUCUCUUUGUCGGAACACUACUGGGUGACGAAAAAAGUUUUUGAUGAUUCUUUGGUAAUCUAAAUGAAUCUGAAAAAUAUCCGUGUCAGAUUUUCCCAUUUUAUGAAUCAAAGAACUGUAGAUUACAUUGUAAAAUACAAAUCAACGAAAAUUUUCUGAAAUUAGAUUUAUACGAAUUUUUAUGCGCUGCGUAUUAUAAAGUUAUUCAAAACAGACAGGAAAAUCAAAAUAAGCUUUUGAAUCUAAAAAUGAAAUAAAUUUGGUUGUUUAUUGAAAUUUAUUUAGACUGAAAAAUUGGAUCUAAGUGCGACUGUGAGAGAAUAAAUGAAAACGACUUACCGUUAAAAAAUCAUUUAUUUAAUGAUAGAAUGGAAGAAUCAAAGAUAUAGUUAAACGCUAAUUCAUCACCCAAUAGUCAUAUCGUUGGACAGUCACAAAGUUCUAUAACUUGCAAUAUUUGCGCCAAAAUUAUGUGAAAAAUGGAAGAUUGAUUCAUUAUUUUUAAUUUCCUAAAACUGGUAAAAGUAGCGUUGCAAAAGGUGUGUAAGGGUGUUCUAAAGCAAUAUGUAUAAAUAAUUAAAACUAUGCGAUUUGUUUAGAAGGUACAACAAAAAUGGAAUGAAAGUGGAAUAAAAUUUGCUUGUGUAUAACAUUUGUUUUCAAAUACAUUUUCCGAUAGAUUCAAAAUUUUUUAUUUUUAUUUCUAAUGUUAAUGUUUAAUUAAGUCUUGUCUAAUUUGAGCAAUAGAAAUUUCAUAUUAUUUUUGGAUAUCCUAUACACCACUACAGAUGAGGUGCAAAUAAAUCGAUGAUAGGGAAUACGCAUACAUAGGUACAUACGUCUUCAUUACAUAAAAUAGGUAGCGGAUCUUUAUACGAAUUAUCAUUUUUGUAGACUAAUUCACAAAAAUAUAGAAAUUAUACAGAAACUUAUUCCCGUUCUUAAAAGUUCCAUUAGAUUUUAUCGAAACUCGCGUUUCGCAACCGCUUUGAACAUUCGUACAGUUAUUGCCAUAUAUAAAGUCCGCAGUCUAGUUGUAAUCGUCCAUAAAACGUAAGAAUUUUGAAAUUACCUGUACAAAAUUGACAUUUACACAUUAACUACUUAGAGGUAAUUUAUAGACAUGUAUCCGCCGCGAAGUACCGAUAUAAAUUGGGCGCUGCUUGCACCGAUCUGUAAUUCUCUAUCACCUCACGUGCAUAUUUGAUCCUCUCUUCUCGUAUGCACGAUCAAUUAGAGCGAAAGUGAUUGAGCAUGAAGUCCUGAUUAAAACUUCGGCGUGGUUGCCGAAGGUAAUUGAACUCUGUUGACCUUAAUACAGAGAAGGAACGAUCAAACUGGCCGAGAACGUGCGACAAUGACAGAGACUUUCUUAGUAGGCAAAUUAUAGUAAAUGUAAGGGACUCCGAUCAUCGGGUCUACGAAACGUUAUUAGACAAAUCUUUGCCGAGUUUUCUUUUUCCUUUCGUUUUAAUGCUUGAAAAAAAAGAAUACCUUGUUGUUAAUGUUUAAGCAAGUUACUGACAACUUGUCGUGUGUCAACCUAUAACUGGCUUAAGUAACGUGCCCUGCGUACUGUGAUUGGAGUGUUCUCUCGUGGGAGCAAGGUGUGAGAUCGCGUUAACUUGUUGACGAAAGAUAUUCGAGAAUCGGUUCUUCCUUGAACAUGUAAAGAACGAUUAACAAAU